UACGUAGGGGGCAAGCGUUGUCCGGAUUUAUUGGGCGUAAAGAGCUCGUAGGCGGCUUUGUAAGUUAGAGGUGAAAGCCCGGGGCUCAACUCCGGAACUGCCUUUAAGACUGCAUCGCUUGAAUCCGGGAGAGGUGAGUGGAAUUCCGAGUGUAGAGGUGAAAUUCGUAGAUAUUCGGAAGAACACCAGUGGCGAAGGCGGCUCACUGGACCGGUAUUGACGCUGAGGUGCGAAAGCGUGGGGAGCAAACAGG
rnacentral:rRNA from 1 species